rnacentral:rRNA from 1 species
GACGAACGCUGGCGGCGUGCCUAAUACAUGCAAGUUGAGCGCUGAAGGUUGGUACUUGUACCGACUGGCUGAGCAGCGAACGGGUGAGUAACGCGUGGGGAAUCUGCCUUUGAGCGGGGGACAACAUUUGGAAACGAAUGCUAAUACCGCAUAAAAACUUUAAACACAAGUUUUAAGUUUAAAAGAUGCAAUUGCAUCACUCAAAGAUGAUCCCGCGUUGUAUUAGCUAGUUGGUGAGGUAAAGGCUCACCAAGGCGAUGAUACAUAGCCGACCUGAGAGGGUGAUCGGCCACAUUGGGACUGAGACACGGCCCAAACUCCUACGGGAGGCAGCAGUAGGGAAUCUUCGGCAAUGGACGAAAGUCUGACCGAGCAACGCCGCGUGAGUGAAGAAGGUUGUCGGAUCGUAAAACUCUGUUGGUAGAGAAGAACGUUGGUGAGAGUGGAAAGCUCAUCAAGUGACGGUAACUACCCAGAAAGGGACGGCUAACUACGUG